rnacentral:tRNA from 1 species
GCUGGUGUAGCUCAGCCGGUAGAGCAAUCGCCUUGUAUGCGAUCCGGUACGGAUCAGCUUCGCUGCGCGCGCGCAGGUUCAAUUCCUGUCACCAGCC